rnacentral:lncRNA from 13 species
CUCACUUGACCUGCUUUGUUGCACAAAACCCUGUAGCUCACCUUUGCCUUCCCGUCUGUUUACUCUUCGUGUGGGGUUGUCAAGGAGAAACAUUGGAGGGGAGAGGAGGAAGCAGGCGGUAUUAUGGGCAGUCGGUCUCUCCUCUCUCAGCCAACUAUGAGAACUAUUUGGGAUUGAAGGAGAUAAGCUACAGCAGGUCGCCACUUGUCCUGAACGCUCGACCAUUCUUUGAGCAAGAAGACAGACCUGGAGUCUCUCUUUGUCACCCAAGCUGGAGUGCAGUGGCACAAUCUCAGCUCACUGCAACCUCCACCUCCUGGGUUCAAGUUAUUCUCCUGGCUCAGCCUCCUGAAUAUCUGGAACUACAGGCACCCACCACCAUGCCCAGCUAAGUUUUGUGUUUUCAGUAGAAACAAGGUUUCACCCUGGUGGCCAGUCUGGUCUCAAACUCUGGACCUCAAGUGAUCCACCUGGCUUGGUCUCUGAAAGUGCUGGGAUUACAAGCAUGAGUCACCGAUUCUAGCUUCUUUUAAAUUUUAUUUUUAAAUAGCAGUGCCAAAUAUUUACUCCCUCUUUCUUUCUCUCUCACCUAGAUUAGAUCUUCCUUUUCUUCACUCACCUGACAGACACAGGCCCUGUGCUUUGUGCCUGCACAUCCCCAUUGCUUUGGCUGCAUCACGAGACACAUUUCACCCUUGUCCAUUAACCCCUCCCUAUAGAAAGGAUGCUUCCCAGCAGCCUCCAAGUUGCUAUGAUCUUCUGGUGUUGUUCUAGAAAAGGAUACACUCCUGAUAGGCUGGAAAUGUUCCUUCCUGGCUGGACGUGGUGGCUCAUGCCUUUAGUCUCAGCAUUUUGGAAGGCCGAGGUGAAUGGAUCAGCUGAGGUCAGGAGUUCGAGACCAGCCUGACCAACAUGGUAAAACCCUGUUUGUACUAAAAAAUACAAAAAUUAGCCAGGCAUGGUGGCAGAUGCCUGUAAUCCCAGCUACUCAGGAGGCCGAGGCAGGAGAAUCACUUGAACCCGGGAGGCAGAGGUUGCAGUGAGCCAGGAUCACACAGUUGUACUCCGGCCUGGGUGACAAGAGCGAAAC